UCGAGAAUCUUCGGCAAUGGACGAAAGUCUGACCGAGCGACGCCGCGUGUGGGAUGAAGGUCUUCGGAUUGUAAACCACUGUCGAGGGGGAUUAAGGGCAACUUGAAAGAACCCUGGAGGAAGGGGAGGCUAAGCUCGUGCCAGCAGCCGCGGUAAGACGAGCUCCCCAAACGUUAUUCGGUAUUACUGGGCUUAAAGAGUUCGUAGGCGGCGAAGUAGGUGAGGUGUGAAAGCCCUCGGCUCAACCGAGGAACUGCGCUUCAAACCACUUUGCUAGAGGGAGAUAGGGGUAAGCGGAACAGAUGGUGGAGCGGUGAAAUGCAUUGAUAUCAUCUGGAACACCGGUGGCGAAAGCGGCUUACUGGGUCUUUUCUGACGCUGAGGAACGAAAGCUAGGGUAGCGAACGGG
rnacentral:rRNA from 1 species